rnacentral:rRNA from 1 species
CCUACGGGAGGCUGCAGUGAGGAAUAUUGGUCAAUGGGCGCAAGCCUGAACCAGCCAAGUCGCGUGAGGGAUGACGGUCCUAUGGAUUGUAAACCUCUUUUGUCGGGGAGCAAGGCCCGCCACGUGUGGCGGGAAGGAGAGUACCCGAAGAAAAAGCAUCGGCUAACUCCGUGCCAGCAGCCGCGGUCAUACGGAGGAUGCGAGCGUUAUCCGGAUUUAUUGGGUUUAAAGGGUGCGUAGGCGGAAGGUUAAGUCAGCGGUAAAAUGUCGGUGCUCAACACCGGCCUGCCGUUGAAACUGGUCUUCUUGAGUGAGCGAGAAGUAUGCGGAAUGCGUGGUGUAGCGGUGAAAUGCAUAGAUAUCACGCAGAACUCCGAUUGCGAAGGCAGCAUACCGGCGCUCAACUGACGCUGAGGCACGAAAGCGUGGGGAUCGAACAGGAUUAGAUACCCUAGUAGUC